CAAACAUAACUAACUCAUGUAACAGCUGGAGGCAACAGCAAAACAGACUGAGCUCAUCGAAAGGACUUGGAAAGAACUCAGUUAAACAACUGAAUAAUGCCCUAACAAAAUUCUUCACAAGACUUCGUUUAGUGAAUCUCUGGGGACUGGGCGUGAACGUGACAUCUCACCCCUG